AAGAAACUGUGUACCUCCAGUUUCAUUUUCUAGACCAUUUCCCACCUUUAGUUUGUUGAAUCUGCAGAUUCAGGACCCAUGGGUUGGCAGGGCUCAAUGUAUUUCCCCUUUGACCUUCCCUCCAGGAUUUCCCAGCUCCCCACCAAAGAUUGUCCUUUCAGACAGAUGCUUUGCCACACAACCUCCCCUCUACUUUCAACCAAGGAGCCCUCCAUUCUUCCAUGCCCCAGCUGUAUCCUGUGCUCUUGAACGUCUCUUAAAUUUUCCUGGCUCCCUUUGGGCAGCACCUUGUCUGUGAGACUUGUUGUGAUGAGAGAAGGGUCCUGACUCUGCCCUGUCCAUGCUCCUUGGUUAGCUGAGCAAGGACCAUAACUCACCCUCCGUCCUCCAGAGCACACUCACAGAUGCCCCUUUGCAGGCCAUCUACAAGAUGGUGUCCUCCGUGAUGAAGAUGCCCGAGGACGGGUCCAUGCUCGAGAAGCGAAUAGACAAGAUCUUCAGGCAGAUGGACACAAACAAUGAAGGCAAAAUGUCCCUGGAAGAAUUCAACAAAGGUACCAAGAGGGACCCACCCAUUGUCCGGUUGCUGCAGUGUGACCCCAGCAGUGCUAGCCAGUUCUCAGGGGAAUGGGCUUUUACACAGGUGUGAGAAACACAGGCUUGACCUGCCAUCUUCAGCUUUGCUUGCAAAGGUGGAUUUCUUUGUGAUUUCUCCUGCUCUCUAGGGACCUGGGUCCAGGCAGCACAGCACACUCACCUGGUCUGGCUGGAUGCAGCUCCCUCCUCUGUCUGAUCCAAUAGAUGUCCCUCCCCAUCCAGUCCAGGCUGGUUCCUUCCAAGGUCCAAGUGUUCUUGGCUGUAGGGCUCCUUCCAUGCCCACAGAGAGCCUGGAGGCCCUUAAGGACACCAGACAGGUUUUUUCAGUAUCUUACUGAGACCAGCUGAUUUAUUUGAUGAUCCCAGCUGACUUUGUGAGGAUGAAGAAGAUGGAGAGCAGACAGGAGAUACAAGAAUGCCCAAGGCUGUGGACAUCUGCCCUCCGUCCUGCAAAUACAGGUGUUCCUGUGUGCUCCAUCCUUCCUUUCCAUUGACUUGGCAUAUUAAAAUGAUC
rnacentral:lncRNA from 1 species